GAAUCUUUUGUGUAUGUGUGUGUAGCAUCAUAAAUGGUUUCCAUGGAAAUGAAAGUCUUGGCUAGAAUGGUUUGGAUGUAUGCGUGAACUUUAGAAUUAAACAAGGGCUACUGUUUUUGUCUGAGUUUCAUGUAUAAAGAUGUCCCAAGGGACUUUGGGAUGGAUGUCACCAACUCCUUGGUUCCCUACCAUGUUCCGGCCCACGCCUGGGGCUCCCUGGGAAACACCCCAGCGCCUCACGAUCCUCAAACUUGAGGCUUUCUGUUGCUUUUGGCAUGUGUGCGUAAAUGUCAACAGGACGAUUGAACUGCCUGAACUGUCCUUGAAAACCCUGACUUUAGGCCAGACUGUCCCCCUCUCUGCUGUGGACCGCAGUGUUGAAAAGUGUUCUGGUUCCGGAGAUGGUAUCAGCGGCGGGACAACAUGGAUAUCAAUGAAGGCAGAACCCAGGAGAGCCCAUAAAUCCCACCAAGCCUGUCCGAGCUGUCAAAUUAUGUCCUGAUAAAGCUGCCGGUGGCUGAUGGCAUGGCCACCAGGCGGGGCUUUCUGGGAGCACCGGGCCCAGCAUGCAGACACUGGUCACGCACACGAUGUCACCUCCAGGCUCUGUGCCUCUAAUAAAGGGCAGCACUUUGAAUACGAUCAUCUCUAAAAUAAUAAUAAGGGCAAUUUAAAAAUAAACAAAGCCCUGGAUGUAAAGGCUACUUAGUGUCCCGGGACCAAGAUUAAUGGCAAGUGGC
rnacentral:lncRNA from 1 species